AUUGAACGCUGGCGGCAUGCCUCACACAUGCAAGUCGAACGGUAACAGGUCUUCGGAUGCUGACGAGUGGCGAACGGGUGAGUAAUACAUCGGAACGUGCCCGAGAGUGGGGGAUAACGAGGCGAAAGCUUUGCUAAUACCGCAUACGAUCUCAGGAUGAAAGCAGGGGACCGCAAGGCCUUGCGCUCACGGAGCGGCCGAUGGCAGAUUAGGUAGUUGGUGGGAUAAAAGCUUACCAAGCCGACGAUCUGUAGCUGGUCUGAGAGGACGACCAGCCACACUGGGACUGAGACACGGCCCAGACUCCUACGGGAGGCAGCAGUGGGGAAUUUUGGACAAUGGGCGCAAGCCUGAUCCAGCCAUGCCGCGUGCAGGAUGAAGGCCUUCGGGUUGUAAACUGCUUUUGUACGGAACGAAAAGACUCCUUCUAAUAAAGGGGGUUCAUGACGGUACCGUAAGAAUAAGCACCGGCUAACUACGUGCCAGCCGCCGCCGUAACAC
rnacentral:rRNA from 1 species